UACGAAGGGUGCAAGCGUUACUCGGAAUUACUGGGCGUAAAGCGUGCGUAGGUGGUGAGUUAAGUCUGUCGUGAAAGCCCCGGGCUCAACCUGGGAAUGGCGAUGGAUACUGGCUCGCUAGAGUGCGGUAGAGGAGAGUGGAAUUCCGGGUGUAGUGGUGAAAUGCGUAGAGAUCCGGAGGAACACCAGUGGCGAAGGCGACACGCUGGGCCGUACCUGACGCUAAAACGCGACAGCAUGGGGAGCGAACGGG
rnacentral:rRNA from 1 species